rnacentral:lncRNA from 1 species
UAAAAUGUGUUAUUUGCCACCUUUAAAACUUCUCCAUGGUGCUGAGAGGUCCAUCAGUCAAACUGCCACAUUUUACAGAUGAGGUUGAGCUGAAAGCCUGACCCACCGCGUGCUCCAGCGCAGCCUUCUCAGGGUUCGGCUUUGGAGUGGGGAGUGCGGUACAAGGCCUUACCGGGCAUUUGCUCAGCUAAAAAUAAAGCGAAGCUGGCUUCUGUCUGCUAUCACUCCUUAUACGUAUACAGCUAGCUGCUCAGAAAACUUGAAAAUGAACUAUUUAGCUGGACAAUCAUGUGCUCUGCUUAAAACCCUACUCUAUGGAAGAGUCUACGUAGGGGAUCACAUAGCAGUCCAGCAUAGAGAGGAAAUGGAGGUGUGGUAACUAAAAUCAGAUCUUCUUACUCAUACUCACGGACAACCAGAAAGCAGAAGCUGCCUUUUGCAAACUCAAAGUUACUUUUGAGGUUAA